UGGGGAAUCUUGCGCAAUGGGGGAAACCCUGACGCAGCGACGCCGCGUGCGGGAUGAAGGCCUUCGGGUUGUAAACCGCUUUCAGCAGGGACGAGGCCUUAUGGUGACGGUACCUGCAGAAGAAGCUCCGGCUAAAUACGUGCCAGCAGCCGCGGUAAUACGUAUGGAGCAAGCGUUAUCCGGAUUCAUUGGGCGUAAAGCGCGCGCAGGCGGCUCUUCAAGCGGAACCUCUAACCCCGGGGCUCAACCUCGGGCCGGGUUCCGAACUGGAGGGCUCGAGUGCGGUAGAGGCAGGCGGAAUUCCCGGUGUAGCGAUGGAAUGCGCAGAUAUCGGGAAGAACACCGAUGGCGAAGGCAGCCUGCUGGGCCGGCACUGACGCUGAGGCGCGAAAGCUAGGGGAGCGAACAGG
rnacentral:rRNA from 1 species